UACGGAGGGUGCAAGCGUUGUCCGGAUUUAUUGGGUUUAAAGGGUGCGUAGGCGGCCCGGUAAGUCAGUGGUGAAAGCCUCCAGCUCAACUGGAGAACUGCCAUUGAUACUGUCGGGCUUGAGUACAGACGAGGUUGGCGGAAUUGAUUGUGUAGCGGUGAAAUGCAUAGAUAUUGGGAGGAACACCAGUGGCGAAGGCGGCUCACUGGACCGGUUCUGACGCUGAGGCGCGAAAGCGUGGGGAGCAAACGGG
rnacentral:rRNA from 1 species